rnacentral:lncRNA from 1 species
AUGGGGAAGAUGCUCAGCAAGCAUGAAUGUGGAGGGAGAGGCACCGAGCGUGGGUGUGCAUGGAGAGGGAUCGAGCGUGGGUGUGCAUGGAGAGACACCGAGCGUGUGUGUGGAGGGAGAGGCACCGAGUGUGGGUGUGCAUGGAGAGACACUGAGCGUGUGUGUGCAUGGAGAGGCACCGAGUGUGGGUGUGGAGGGAGAGGGAUCGAGCGUGGGUGUGCAUGGAGAGGCACAGAGCGUGGGUGUGCAUGGAGAGACACUGAGCGUGUGUGUGCAUGGAGAGGGAUUGAGCGUGUGUGUGGAGGGAGAGGCACCGAGCGCGGGUAUGCAUGGAGAGGCACAGAGCGUGGGUGUGCAUGGAGAGGCACAGAGCGUGGGUGUGGAGGGAGAGGCACCGAGCGUGGGUGUGCAUGGAGAGGGAUCGAGCGUGGGUGUGCAUGGAGAGGGAUCGAGCGUGGGUGUGGAGGGAGAGGCACAGAGCGUGGGUGUGGAGGGAGAGGCACAGAGUGUGGGUGUGCACGGAGAGGGAUCGAGCGUGGGUGUGCAUGGAGAGGCACAGAGCGUGGGUGUGCAUGGAGAGACACUGAGCGUGGGUGUGCAUGGAGAGACACUGAGCGUGUGUGUGCAUGGAGAGACACUGAGCAUGUGUGUGCAUGGAGAGGCACCGAGUGUGGGUGUGCAUGGAGAGGCACAGAGCGUGGGUGUGGAGGGAGAGGCACAGAGUGUGGGUGUGCAUGGAGAGGGAUUGAGCGUGUGUGUGGAGGGAGAGGCACCAAGCGUGGGUGUGCAUGGAGAGACACUGAGCGUGUGUGUGGAGGGAGAGGCACCAAGUGUGGGUGUGCAUGGAGAGACACUGAGCGUGUGUGUGGAGGGAGAGGCACCAAGUGUGGGUGUGCAUGGAGAGACACUGAGCGUGGGUGUGGAGGGAGAGACACUGAGGGUGUGUGUGCAUGGAGAGACACCGAGCGUGGGUGUGCACGGAGAGGCACAGAGCGUGUGUGUGCAUGGAGAGGCACAGAGCGUGGGUGUGCAUGGAGAGGCACUGAGCGUGGGUGUGGAGGGAGAGGGACCGUAGCCUGGGUGAGCAGGGAGAGACACCGAGCGUGGGUUGGAGGGCGAGGCACUGAGCGUGUGUGUGGAGGGAGAGGCACCGAGCGUGGGUGUGGAGGGAGAGGCACCGAGCGUGGGUGUGGAGGGAGAGGAACCGAUAAUGGGUGUGGAGGAAGAGGGACCGAGCGUGGGUGUGGAGGGCGAGGCACCAAGCAUGGGUGUGGAGGGAGAGGCACCGAGCGUGGGUGUGGAGGGAGAGGAACCGAGCGUGGGUGUGGAGGGAGAGGCACCGAGCGUGGGUGUGGAGGGCGAGGCACCGAGCGUGGGUGUGGAGGGAGAGGCACCGAGCGUGGGUGUGGAGGGAGAGGCACCGAGCGUGGGUGUGGAGGGAGAGGCACCGAGCGUGGGUGA